rnacentral:rRNA from 1 species
GACGAACGCUGGCGGCGCGCUUAACACAUGCAAGUCGAGCGAGAACCAGGACUUCGGUCCUGGGGACAGCGGCGAACGGGUGAGUAACACGUGGGUAAUCUGCCCUCGAUUCUGGGAUAGCCCGGGGAAACCCGGAUUAAUACCGGAUAGCCUUUCGAGCCUUCGGGCGAGGAAGAAAAGGUAGCUUCGGCCUCCGAUCGAGGAUGAGCCCGCGGUGGAUUAGCUUGUUGGCGGGGUAAUGGCCCACCAAGGCGACGAUCCAUAGCUGGUCUGAGAGGACGAUCAGCCACACUGGGACUGAGACACGGCCCAGACUCCUACGGGAGGCAGCAGUGGGGAAUCUUGCGCAAUGGGCGAAAGCCUGACGCAGCGACGCCGCGUGGGGGAUGACGGCCUUCGGGUUGUAAACCUCUUUCAGCAGGGACGAAGCGCAAGUGACGGUACCUGCAGAAGAAGCACCGGCCAACUACGUGCCAGCAGCCGCGGUAAAA